UUCCUGUUUUCUUUUUCUGUUUCUUUGCAGUAAAUCUACAACAAUUUGUUAUUUGGUUGGAAAAACUAAAACAAUUUCCAUUAUUUCAAGCGGUAUAAAUUCAACAAUUUUUCUUAAUUCUCCAAAGAAAAUUUCUACAACAACAGUUCGUAUAUUUUAAUCUAAAUAAAAAAACAGCUGUGAAUGUUGAUGUAAAUAUGUCUAUAUCCAAACAAUACCUAUAUUAAGCGGAAAAAAUUGAUAAGUUAACACUGUUGCCCGGUUGAAUUUUUUAUAAUUGGAUCCCGUCAUAAUUUUACUAGAUGUAAUGUGGUCAGAAGAAACAACUUUAAUAAAGGCAUUUCUCAAGUGUGAAACUUUUACAUUAAACCAACCAAUCAAAUAUAAUCUAAGAAUGUACUUAACAAAACUUAAUAUAAACUAGUCGUAAGAAUAAAUAAUAUAUUAUAUAAAUGUGAUUAUUGUUAUCAAUUACUGUAAAAAAUAAAAAAAUAAUUUU